rnacentral:rRNA from 1 species
AACGGCCGUACCAUGCUGAAUAUACCGGUUCUCGUUAGAUCACCGAAGUCAAGCAUCAUUGGGCGCGGUCAGUACUUGGGUGAGGGACUACCUGGGAACACUGCGUGCCGUUG